rnacentral:rRNA from 1 species
UGAGGAAUAUUGGUCAAUGGCCGGGAGGCUGAACCAAGCCAAGUCGCGUGAGGGAAGACGGUCCUAUGGAUUGUAAACCUCUUUUUGUCAGGGAGCAAAAACUGCCACGCGUGGCAGGAUGAGAGUACCUGAAGAAAAAGCAUCGGCUAACUCCGUGCC